GGAGUCGGCCAAGACAACCGCGUCGCGGGUAACCGCGCCGAGGAAAGUCCGGGCUCCACAGAGCAGAGUGCCAGGUAACGCCUGGGCGGCGUAAGCCGACGGCCAGUGCAACAGAGAAUAGACCGCCGAACGGCGUCGCAAGACGUGCGUGGUAAGGGUGAAACGGUGGGGUAAGAGCCCACCGCCUGCGGGGACAACGUCGCAGGGCACGGUAAACCCCACUCGGAGCAAGGCCAAAUAGGGGUGCUAUGGGUUGGCUCGACCCGCACCCGGGUGUGCUGCUUGAGCCUAGCGGUGACGCUGGGCCUAGAGGAAUGGUUGUCCACGACAGAACCCGGCUUACCGGCCGGCUCCGCCA
rfam:Gammaproteobacteria bacterium RIFCSPHIGHO2_12_FTLL_63_22 rifcsphigho2_12_scaffold_517, whole genome shotgun sequence.